GACGAACGCUGGCGGCGUGCCUAACACAUGCAAGUCGAGCGAAGUGAGUACUACGGUACGAACUUAGCGGCGGACGGGUGAGUAACGCGUGGACAAUCUACCCUGUAGACUGGGAUAACACCUCGAAAGGGGUGCUAAUACCGGAUAAUGUCGAGAAGCGGCAUCGCUUUUCGAAGAAAGGAGAGAAUCCGCUAUAGGAGGAGUCCGCGUCCCAUUAGCUAGUUGGUGAGGGUAACGGCCCACCAAGGCGACGAUGGGUAGCCGGCCUGAGAGGGUGAACGGCCACACGGGAACUGAGACACGGUCCAGACUACUACGGGAGGCAGCAGUGGGGAAUAUUGUGCAAUGGGGGAAACCCUGACACAGCAACGCCGCGUGAGCGAAGAAGGCCUUCGGGUUGUAAAGCUCAAUAGUAUGGGAAGAUAAUGACGGUACCAUACGAAAGCCCCGGCUAACUACGUGCCAGCCGCCGCCGUAAGAC
rnacentral:rRNA from 1 species